GAGCUGCUUCUCUUACCCUUUGAGAUAAGAGGCUGCUGGGGAAGAGCCCUAAUCCCCAAAUCUGCCUCAGUGUCAGGAGACAGAAGGAUCAGCCCCAGACUCAAAGGGCAAAGGGCAUGGGUGGACCUCACUGGAGUGGCCUGCUCCACUUCCCUACUGGACGUGAGCUCCAUAGCAGAACAGAUACCAGCAGAGAACUGGGUGAAUCUAUAAGCCGAUAGUAGAAUAUAUUGAUGCCCAGUUCGAGGCCUACCUGCAAGAGGAAUUGAAGAUUAAACGUUCUCUCUUCAACUACCAUGACACGAGGAUCCAUGCUUGCCUCUACUUUAUUGCCCCUACUGGACAUUCACUAAAGUCCCUGGAUCUGGUCACCAUGAAAAAGCUGGACAGUAAGGUGAACAUCAUUCCAAUAAUUGCAAAAGCUGACACCAUUGCCAAGAAUGAACUGCACAAAUUCAAGAGUAAGAUCAUGAGUGAACUGGUCAGCAAUGGGGUCCAGAUAUAUCAGUUUCCCACUGAUGAAGAAACGGUGGCAGAGAUUAACGCGACAAUGAGU
rnacentral:sRNA from 1 species